rnacentral:rRNA from 1 species
GGGUUGUGAGGUUAAGCGACUAAGCGUACACGGUGGAUGCCCUGGCAGUCAGAGGCGAUGAAGGACGUGCUAAUCUGCGAUAAGCGUCGGUAAGGUGAUAUGAACCGUUAUAACCGGCGAUUUCCGAAUGGGGAAACCCAGUGUGAUUCGUCACACUAUCAUUAACUGAAUCCAUAGGUUAAUGAGGCGAACCGGGGGAACUGAAACAUCUAAGUACCCCGAGGAAAAGAAAUCAACCGAGAUUCCCCCAGUAGCGGCGAGCGAACGGGGAGCAGCCCAGAGCCUGAAUCAGUGUGUGUGUUAGUGGAAGCGUCUGGAAAGGCGCGCGAUACAGGGUGACAGCCCCGUACACAAAAAUGCACAUGCUGUGAGCUCGAUGAGUAGGGCGGGACACGUGGUAUCCUGUCUGAAUAUGGGGGGACCAUCCUCCAAGGCUAAAUACUCCUGACUGACCGAUAGUGAACCAGUACCGUGAGGGAAAGGCGAAAAGAACCCCGGCGAGGGGAGUGAAAAAGAACCUGAAACCGUGUACGUACAAGCAGUGGGAGCACAGAGCAAUCUGUGUGACUGCGUACCUUUUGUAUAAUGGGUCAGCGACUUAUAUUCUGUAGCAAGGUUAACCGAAUAGGGGAGCCGAAGGGAAACCGAGUCUUAACUGGGCGUUAAGUUGCAGGGUAUAGACCCGAAACCCGGUGAUCUAGCCAUGGGCAGGUUGAAGGUUGGGUAACACUAACUGGAGGACCGAACCGACUAAUGUUGAAAAAUUAGCGGAUGACUUGUGGCUGGGGGUGAAAGGCCAAUCAAACCGGGAGAUAGCUGGUUCUCCCCGAAAGCUAUUUAGGUAGCGCCUCGUGAAUUCAUCUCCGGGGGUAGAGCACUGUUUCGGCAAGGGGGUCAUCCCGACUUACCAACCCGAUGCAAACUGCGAAUACCGGAGAAUGUUAUCACGGGAGACACACGGCGGGUGCUAACGUCCGUCGUGAAGAGGGAAACAACCCAGACCGCCAGCUAAGGUCCCAAAGUCAUGGUUAAGUGGGAAACGAUGUGGGAAGGCCCAGACAGCCAGGAUGUUGGCUUAGAAGCAGCCAUCAUUUAAAGAAAGCGUAAUAGCUCACUGGUCGAGUCGGCCUGCGCGGAAGAUGUAACGGGGCUAAACCAUGCACCGAAGCUGCGGCAGCGACGCUUAUGCGUUGUUGGGUAGGGGAGCGUUCUGUAAGCCUGUGAAGGUGUACUGUGAGGUAUGCUGGAGGUAUCAGAAGUGCGAAUGCUGACAUAAGUAACGAUAAAGCGGGUGAAAAGCCCGCUCGCCGGAAGACCAAGGGUUCCUGUCCAACGUUAAUCGGGGCAGGGUGAGUCGACCCCUAAGGCGAGGCCGAAAGGCGUAGUCGAUGGGAAACAGGUUAAUAUUCCUGUACUUGGUGUUACUGCGAAGGGGGGACGGAGAAGGCUAUGUUGGCCGGGCGACGGUUGUCCCGGUUUAAGCGUGUAGGCUGGUUUUCCAGGCAAAUCCGGAAAAUCAAGGCUGAGGCGUGAUGACGAGGCACUACGGUGCUGAAGCAACAAAUGCCCUGCUUCCAGGAAAAGCCUCUAAGCAUCAGGUAACAUCAAAUCGUACCCCAAACCGACACAGGUGGUCAGGUAGAGAAUACCAAGGCGCUUGAGAGAACUCGGGUGAAGGAACUAGGCAAAAUGGUGCCGUAACUUCGGGAGAAGGCACGCUGAUAUGUAGGUGAAGUCCCUCGCGGAUGGAGCUGAAAUCAGUCGAAGAUACCAGCUGGCUGCAACUGUUUAUUAAAAACACAGCACUGUGCAAACACGAAAGUGGACGUAUACGGUGUGACGCCUGCCCGGUGCCGGAAGGUUAAUUGAUGGGGUUAGCGCAAGCGAAGCUCUUGAUCGAAGCCCCGGUAAACGGCGGCCGUAACUAUAACGGUCCUAAGGUAGCGAAAUUCCUUGUCGGGUAAGUUCCGACCUGCACGAAUGGCGUAAUGAUGGCCAGGCUGUCUCCACCCGAGACUCAGUGAAAUUGAACUCGCUGUGAAGAUGCAGUGUACCCGCGGCAAGACGGAAAGACCCCGUGAACCUUUACUAUAGCUUGACACUGAACAUUGAGCCUUGAUGUGUAGGAUAGGUGGGAGGCUUUGAAGUGUGGACGCCAGUCUGCAUGGAGCCGGCCUUGAAAUACCACCCUUUAAUGUUUGAUGUUCUAACGUUGACCCGUAAUCCGGGUUGCGGACAGUGUCUGGUGGGUAGUUUGACUGGGGCGGUCUCCUCCUAAAGAGUAACGGAGGAGCACGAAGGUUGGCUAAUCCUGGUCGGACAUCAGGAGGUUAGUGCAAUGGCAUAAGCCAGCUUGACUGCGAGCGUGACGGCGCGAGCAGGUGCGAAAGCAGGUCAUAGUGAUCCGGUGGUUCUGAAUGGAAGGGCCAUCGCUCAACGGAUAAAAGGUACUCCGGGGAUAACAGGCUGAUACCGCCCAAGAGUUCAUAUCGACGGCGGUGUUUGGCACCUCGAUGUCGGCUCAUCACAUCCUGGGGCUGAAGUAGGUCCCAAGGGUAUGGCUGUUCGCCAUUUAAAGUGGUACGCGAGCUGGGUUUAGAACGUCGUGAGACAGUUCGGUCCCUAUCUGCCGUGGGCGCUGGAGAACUGAGGGGGGCUGCUCCUAGUACGAGAGGACCGGAGUGGACGCAUCACUGGUGUUCGGGUUGUCAUGCCAAUGGCACUGCCCGGUAGCUAAAUGCGGAAGAGAUAAGUGCUGAAAGCAUCUAAGCACGAAACUUGCCCCGAGAUGAGUUCUCCCUGACUCCUUGAGAGUCCUGAAGGAACGUUGAAGACGACGACGUUGAUAGGCCGGGUGUGUAAGCGCAGCGAUGCGUUGAGCUAACCGGUACUAAUGAACCGUGAGGCUUAACCUUACAACGCCGAAG